rnacentral:rRNA from 1 species
GACGAACGCUGGCGGCGUGCUUAACACAUGCAAGUCGUACGGUAAGGCCCUUUCGGGGGUACACGAGUGGCGAACGGGUGAGUAACACGUGAGUAACCUGCCCACAACUUUGGGAUAACGCUAGGAAACUGGUGCUAAUACUGGAUAUGUGCUCCUGCUGCAUGGUGGGGGUUGGAAAGCUCCGGCGGUUGUGGAUGGACUCGGGGCCUAUCAGCUUGUUGGUGGGGUAGUGGCCUACCAAGGCGGCGACGGGUAGCCGGCCUGAGAGGGUGACCGGCCACAUUGGGACUGAGAUACGGCCCAGACUCCUACGGGAGGCAGCAGUGGGGAAUAUUGCACAAUGGGCGCAAGCCUGAUGCAGCAACGCCGCGUGCGGGAUGACGGCCUUCGGGUUGUAAACCGCUUUCAGCAGGGACGAAGCUUUUUGUGACGGUACCUGCAGAAGAAGCACCGGCUAACUACGUG